UUAAUAUUCUGUAUAUACAUAUACAAAGUUUGGAAUACCUCUAUCGUUAAGUUUUAGUCCCAUUGGUUGACUCUAUGUGUAAAAGCUAAAGUACAAAUGCUGAACUUUUUAUAGCCUGCAUCAGAGGAGCUUAGACAUAUACACUUAUCUUUCCGUUCUGGUAUUGCAUUUUCAAUAUAUUGUUACAAUAUAAUGAUUUUAAGAUCAAGAUAGUCUUUCAUUCUGAUUGAUAUGAUCAUAUCUUGUUGGUUAUGUUUACAGAUGUAUAAUUUGUAAUACAGUUGUAUAAUGAUGAGUUAAAGAUCAACUAUAAAUUCCAUUACUGUGUUCUUGUUAUUUGUUAUUUGCUGAAAAUUGACUUUCCUAUACAUGAAAAUGACUUUCCU
rnacentral:lncRNA from 1 species